rnacentral:rRNA from 1 species
UGGGGAAUAUUGGACAAUGGGCGCAAGCCUGAUCCAGCCAUGCCGCGUGAGUGAUGAAGGCCUUAGGGUUGUAAAGCUCUUUCAGUGGGGACGAUAAUGACGGUACCCACAGAAGAAGCCCCGGCUAACUUCGUGCC